AUUGAACGCUGGCGGCAUGCCUUACACAUGCAAGUCGAACGGCAGCACGGGAGCAAUCCUGGUGGCGAGUGGCGAACGGGUGAGUAAAGUAUCGGAACGUGCCCAGUCGUGGGGGAUAACGUAGCGAAAGUUACGCUAAUACCGCAUACGAUCUAUGGAUGAAAGCGGGGGAUCGCAAGACCUCGCGCGAUUGGAGCGGCCGAUAUCAGAUUAGGUAGUUGGUGGGGUAAAGGCUCGCCAAGCCGACGAUCUGUAGCUGGUCUGAGAGGACGACCAGCCAAACUGGGACUGAGACACGGCCCAGACUCCUACGGGAGGCAGCAGUGGGGAAUUUUGGACAAUGGGCGAAAGCCUGAUCCAGCCAUGCCGCGUGCAGGAUGAAGGCCUUCGGGUUGUAAACUGCUUUUGUACGGAACGAAAAGGUUUGGGCUAAUAAGCUGAGCUCAUGACGGUACCGUAAGAAUAAGCACCGGCUAACUACGUGCCAGCCGCCGCGGUAA
rnacentral:rRNA from 1 species